rnacentral:rRNA from 1 species
GACGAACGCUGGCGGCGUGCUUAACACAUGCAAGUCGAACGGAAAGGCCCUGCUUUUUGGGGGUGCUCGAGUGGCGAACGGGUGAGUAACACGUGAGUAACCUGCCCUGGACGUUGGGAUAACUUCAGGGAACUUAGUCUAAUACCCGAUAUGAGCUCCUGCUGCAUGGUGGGGGUUGGAAAGUUUGGGCGGUUGGGGAUGGACUCGCGGCUUAUCAGCUUGGUGGUGGGGUAGUGGCUUACCAAGGCUUUGACGGGGAGCCGGCCUGCGAGGGUGACCGGCCACAUUGGGACUGAGAUACGGCGCAGAGUCCUACGGGAGGCAGCAGUGGGGAAUCUUGCCCAAUGGGGGGAAGCCUGAUGAAGCAACGCCGGGUGCGGGAUGAGGGCCUUUGGGUUGUAAACCGCUUCUGCUUGUGACGAAGCGUGAGUGACGGUAAUGGGUAAAGAAGCACCGGCUAACUACGUG